GUUCUCCCUAGGAUAACAUUUAUUCCUUCCUCUUUAAUUGAGAGCUCCAUGUUGGUAUACCCCUCACAUGGUAAAUGAAGUAUCUGCCCCAAAAGCACAGGAUCUAGGCUAAUGUCUACACCCUUUACUGUAGAUUUCACUGUUUCAUUGCUGUACCCCAAAUUUAGGUAAAAUUCUCUGACUAGAUCGACAUGUGUAUUUUUUUUUAAGGAGCAGUAAAAUUUUCAUCCUUGGCCCUUAAUCUUUGAUCCGAUAGUGAACCCUUCCUUUUC
rnacentral:lncRNA from 1 species